GAUGAACGCUGGCGGCGUGCUUAACACAUGCAAGUCGAACGCUGAAGCCUGGUGCUUGCACUGGGUGGAUGAGUGGCGAACGGGUGAGUAACACGUGAGUAACCUGCCCUUGACUUCGGGAUAAGCCCGGGAAACUGGGUCUAAUACUGGAUAUGACCUCCUGCCGCAUGGUGGGGGGUGGAAAGAUUUAUCGGUUGGGGAUGGACUCGCGGCCUAUCAGUUUGUUGGUGGGGUAAUGGCCUACCAAGACGACGACGGGUAGCCGGCCUGAGAGGGUGACCGGCCACACUGGGACUGAGACACGGCCCAGACUCCUACGGGAGGCAGCAGUGGGGAAUAUUGCACAAUGGGCGCAAGCCUGAUGCAGCGACGCCGCGUGAGGGAUGACGGCCUUCGGGUUGUAAACCUCUUUCAGUAGGGAAGCAGCCCCUCGGGGUGACGGUACCUGCAGAAGAAGCGCCGGCUAACUACGUGCCAGCAGCCGCCGUAACAC
rnacentral:rRNA from 1 species